CUCCUUUGAAGUUAGCGGCGGACGGGGUGAGUAACACGUGGGUAACCUACCUAUAAGACUGGGAUAACUUCGGGAAACCGGAGCUAAUACCGGAUAACAUUUAGAACCGCAUGGUUCUAAAGUGAAAGAUGGUUUUGCUAUCACUUAUAGAUGGACCCGCGCCGUAUUAGCUAGUUGGUAAGGUAACGGGCUUACCAAGGCGACGAUACGUAGCCGACCUGAGAGGGUGAUCGGCCACACUGGAACUGAGACACGGUCCAGACUCCUACGGAAGGCAGCAG
rnacentral:rRNA from 1 species